rnacentral:rRNA from 1 species
CAGCCACACUGGAACUGAGACACGGUCCAGACUCCUACGGGAGGCAGCAGUGGGGAAUAUUGGACAAUGGGCGAAAGCCUGAUCCAGCCAUGCCGCGUGAGUGAUGAAGGCCUUAGGGUUGUAAAGCUCUUUUGUCAGGGAAGAUAAUGACGGUACCUGAAGAAUAAGCACCGGCUAACUUCGUGCCAGCAGCCGCGGUAAUACGAAGGGUGCUAGCGUUGUUCGGAAUUACUGGGCGUAAAGCGCGCGUAGGCGGUAAUACAAGUCAGAGGUGAAAUCCCAGGGCUCAACCCUGGAACUGCCUUUGAAACUGUAUUGCUGGAGUGUGUGAGGGGAUAGCGGAAUUGCUAAUGUAGAGGUGAAAUUCGUAGAUAUUAGCAGGAACACCGGUGGCGAAGGCGGCUAUCUGGCACACAACUGACGCUGAGGCGCGAAAGCGUGGGGAUCAAACAGGAUUAGAUACCCUGGUAGUCCACGCUGUAAACGAUGAGUGCUAGCCGUUGGGCCCGUAGGGUUCAGUGGCGCCGCUAACGCAUUAAGCACUCCGCCUGGGGAGUACGGUCGCAAGAUUAAAACUCAAAGGAAUGA